rnacentral:tRNA from 1 species
GGGGGUAUAGGCUUAAUUUGGUUAAACUGCUGGUCUCCAAAACCAGUCUUGAAGGUUCGAAUCCUUCUACCCCUG